AGAUCUGAAAAGCAUAGCGACGGUGGUUAUUAAACCUCAAUGUGAUUUUUAGCAGAACACAUGAUGUGGUCUGUGGUAAACAAGCAGCUGCAAGGGGACACAAACACAGCCUCAAACUUCCCCUUCCAUGCAAACUCGGCUCAUUUCGACAGAGCACGGGCGCCAUUUCAAGUGUUCAGGAUUGUUUGCAGUUGUAUAACUGCUGUCCAGUGCCGGCUUGCACCUGUGUAGAUGUUUAGACGUUUACUUCUCACAACUACAAACAUAUACAGUGGAAGAUGGCAAAUUAAGAAAACAUGGCAACGAAUCAUUGUGGAAGAUAAAUACUCUGAAAUGAGAUCAAGAAAUUGAGAGAAUUUGAUGUUUGACAGCAGGGGAGCAGAAUAGCGAGAGUGAAAAGAGACGGAAGAAGAGAUAGAUAUAGGUCUAACCACUGAACAGGGCCCACCAAUGUCUUCUGUUCCUUUACUGAGACAUUGAAGAAGGAGUUUAAUUUCUAUUCAACUCUCUGUUAUGUAGAGGCUCUGAACAGAACAAGUCAAUGAGGAGCGUUAAUAGACAACUUUGGAAUAUGCCUCAGAGACGAAGUGUGAGAACCAGCUGAAGUUCUGUCUCCGUCUCCUACUCUUCCCCCUCAAUUGUAUCUCCCUCUCUCCCCUUUCCCAUUCUUUUCCUCCCUCUUCCCCUCUCCCUCCCUAUCUGAGGGGAUUUUGAGGCAAGCUGAAAACUGUUCUUCAGGAGGCCCGGACAUGACUUUCUCCAGGCUCUAAGUCCUCUACAGUAGAUAGGACCUAACCCGGGCAUAGUCAUCACCUUCACUCUAACAGCUCAGCGUUCAACACCAUAGUCCCAUCCAAUCACUAAGCUAAAGACCCUGGGAUUAAACACCUCCCUCUGCAACUGGAUCCUGGACUUC